GAUGAACGCUGGCGGCGUGCCUAAUACAUGCAAGUCGAGCGAACAGAUAAGGAGCCUGCUCCUUUGACGUUAGCGGCGGACGGGUGAGUAACACGUGGGUAACCUACCUAUAAGACUGGGAUAACUUCGGGAAACCGGAGCUAAUACCGGAUAAUAUUUCGAGCCGCAUGGUUCGAUAGUGAAAGAUGGUUUUGCUAUCACUUAUAGAUGGACCCGCGCCGUAUUAGCUAGUUGGUAAGGUAACGGCUUACCAAGGCGACGAUACGUAGCCGACCUGAGAGGGUGAUCGGCCACACUGGAACUGAGACACGGUCCAGACUCCUACGGGAGGCAGCAGUAGGGAAUCUUCCGCAAUGGGCGAAAGCCUGACGGAGCAACGCCGCGUGAGUGAUGAAGGUCUUCGGAUCGUAAAACUCUGUUAUUAGGGAAGAACAUACGUGUAAGUAACUGUGCACGUCUUGACGGUACCUAAUCAGAAAGCCACGGCUAACUACGUG
rnacentral:rRNA from 1 species